rnacentral:rRNA from 1 species
GGCUAACGCUGGGCGGCGUGUCUUAGCCAUGCAAGUCGAGCGGACUUAUGGGGUAACUUAUAAGUCAGCGGCGGACGGCGGAGUAACACGUAGCUAACCUACCCUCUGGACGGGGAUAACCUACCGAAAGGUGGGCUAAUACCCGAUGUAGUCAUCCUGUAUAGGGGUGAUGAAAGGUGGGCUUCUGUUUACAAGCUCAUGCUGGAGGAGGGGGCUGCGGCCUAUCAGGUAGUUGGUAGGGUAAUAGCCUACCAAGCCGAUGACGGGUAGCCGGCCUGAGAGGGUGACCGGCCCGAGGGGCACUGAGAUACGGGUCCCACUCCUACGGGAGGCAGCAGGCUAGAAAUUUGGGCAAUGGGGGAAACCCUGACCCAGUGACGCCGCGUGCAGGAAGGAGCCCUUCGGGGUGUAAACUGCUGUCGUGUAGGGAGAAGGGUACUAAGGUGAACAAUCUUAGUACUUGACGGUACUACAGGAGGAAGCCCAGGCUAACCUCGUG